rnacentral:rRNA from 1 species
AUGGUCGUUGAUCCAGUUCUCAAGGGAUUUGACCUCAACAUCGCGGCAGUAGAUGAGUCAAGCCCUUUGGAAGGAAUCGGCCUUGGCCUGUAUGCGACUGAGUUCAUCCACAAGUACCUCAGAUUCAAUCCCACGGACCAGGAGCUGAUGGAGCGGCUCGAGGCCAAGGUGAGGGAUGGAGGCGCGAGAUCUGACCCUCUGAUUGAUAAAUUCAUACCCACCAUAGAGGUCGAGUACGGCUACCCCCAUCCUCAGCAACUUCCAGGUGUGACGAUGGACGGCACGAUCAAGCAUUUUUUCUGCCGUCCGAGGGCGUUCGAGAGUGGACGGAGGAAACAUCGGAAGAUAAAGGCGGAGCGCAACGAUCGUACCGCAUGGCACAAGACCGGCAAAAGCAUGGCAUUGAAGGCCAACGGCCGGCUGACGGGCUGGAAGAACAUCCUGGUGCUCUACACCAACACCAGGAAGACCAACUGGGUGAUGCAUGAGUAUCGCCUCAGCGACGUCGAGGACGAGGAAGGCGGGGAGCUGGUCCUGUGCAAAAUCUUCUACCAGACGGGGGAGCCCAAGAGAAGAAGUGUGUUGAGGACCCAAGAGAACAAGUGCCCCACGUGUGGGUGUGGGUGUGGUGGCAUGGACGUUUAG